rnacentral:misc_RNA from 1 species
GAAAUGCGAUAACUAGUGUGAAUUGCAGAGUCCAGUGAAUCAUCGAGUCUUUGAACGCACAUUGCGCCCGCCGGCACUCCGGCGGGCACGCCCGUCCGAGCGUCAUGUACACCAUCGGGCCCCCCCCCGCGGGGGCCCGGCGUUGGGGGCCCGCCCAGGCGGCCCCCGAAACCCAGUGGCGUCGGCGGCCGGGGAGGCACAACUGCGAGGAAGGCACACCAUCGCGCCCAGCGCGUGGAUCAUCAGUACAAGCAGUACAGCGACCCGGCCGGCGCACCGCCGUCGAACCGCCGCUCGCGGCACGUAGAACCGAUGACCUCGGAUCGGGCGGGGCUACCCGCUGAACUUAA